GACGAACGCUGGCGGCGUGCCUAAUACAUGCAAGUCGAGCGGAAGUUGAAGAGCUUGCUCUUCAACUUUAGCGGCGGACGGGUGAGUAACACGUGGGCAACCUGCCCUACAGAUCGGGAUAACUCCGGGAAACCGGAGCUAAUACCGAAUAGUUUUCGCCACCUCCUGGUGGCGUACGGAAAGACGGUUUCGGCUGUCACUGCAGGAUGGGCUCGCGGCGCAUUAGCUAGUUGGUGGGGUAACGGCCCACCAAGGCAACGAUGCGUAGCCGACCAGAGAGGGGGAUCGGCCACACUGGGACUGAGACACGGCCCAGACUCCGACGGGAGGCAGCAGUAGGGAAUCUUCCGCAAUGGACGAAAGUCUGACGGAGCAACGCCGCGUGAGUGACGAAGGUUUUCGGAUCGUAAAACUCUGUUGUGAGGGAAGAACAAGUACCACUUAACUACUGUACCUUGACGGUACCUCACCAGAAAGCCACGGCUAACUACGUGCCAGCCGCCGCGGUAAGAC
rnacentral:rRNA from 1 species